UACGUAGGGACCGAGCGUUGUCCGGAAUCAUUGGGCGUAAAGAGCGUGUAGGCGGCCUUUUAAGUCCUGCGUGAAAUCCUGCGGCUCAACCGCAGACGGUCGUGGGAAACUGGAAGGCUAGAGUGCGGGAGAGGAGAGUGGAAUUCCUGGUGUAGCGGUGGAAUGCGCAGAUAUCAGGAGGAACACCAAUAGCGAAGGCGGCUCGCUGGGACGUUACUGACGCUGAGGUGCGAAAGCGUGGGGAGCAAACAGG
rnacentral:rRNA from 1 species